rnacentral:rRNA from 1 species
AACGAACGCUGGCGGCGUGCCUAACACAUGCAAGUCGAACGAGAAAGGGGCUUCGGUCCUGAGUAAAGUGGCGCACGGGUGAGUAACACGUGGGCAACCUGCCUCUAAGAUUGGGAUAACCUGUCGAAAGACGAGCUAAUACCGAAUAAGACCACGGCUUCCUCGGAAGCAGGGGCCAAAGGUAGCCUCUAUUUAUAAGCUAUCACUUAGAGAUGGGCCUGCGCACCAUUAGCUAGUUGGUAGGGUAACGGCCUACCAAGGCAAAGAUGGUUAGCUGGUCUGGGAGGAUGAUCAGCCACACUGGAACUGAGACACGGUCCAGACUCCUACGGGAGGCAGCAGUGGGGAAUAUUGCGCAACGGGCGAAAGCCUGACGCAGCAACGCCGCGUGAGUGAUGAAGGCCUUCGGGUCGUAAAGCUCUGUCGGAGGGAACGAAUGCUUUCGAGGUUAACAGCCUUGAGAAGUGACGGUACCUUCAAAGGAAGCACCGGCUAACUCUGUGCCAGCCGCCGCGGUAAGAC